AGCAGCCGCGGUAAUUCCAGCUCCAAUAGCGUAUAUUAAAGUUGUUGCAGUUAAAAAGCUCGUAGUUGAAUUUCGGGAUUGGCGCAUCGGUCGUGCCUCACGGGGUAUGAACUGGUGCAGUCAAUUUCUCACCUUCUGGAGAACCGCGAUGUCCUUAAUUGGAUGCCGCGGGGAACCAGGACCUUUACUUUGAAAAAAUUAGAGUGUUUAAAGCAGGCAUUUUUGCUUGAAUACAUUAGCAUGGAAUAAUAAAAUAGGACGGCAUGGUUCUAUUUUGUUGGUUUCUAGGACCACCGUAAUGAUUAAUAGGGAUAGUUGGGGGCAUUAGUAUUCAAUUGUCAGAGGUGAAAUUCUUGGAUUUAUUGAAGACUAACUACUGCGAAAGCAUUUGCCAAGGAUGUUUUCAUUAAUCAAGAACGAAAGUUAGGGGAUCGAAGACGAUCAGAUACCGUCGUAGUCUUAACCAUAAACUAUGCCGACUAGGAAUCAGACGAUGUUAAUUUUUAAUGACUCGUAUGGC
rnacentral:rRNA from 1 species